GUCCCCGGCGUCCGGGCGCCCUGCAUGGAUCCCCCACCCCAGCUCCUGCUCCCCGGCGGCGGCCGGUGGGCAGAAAGACCGAAACCCACUCACGGCCGCCUGCCGAAUCGCGGCUCUGCUGUUUGUGGGGCGUGCUAGAAACGUGGUCCUAAAAAGAAUGGCGUCCAUUUACAUAAUGCUUUGUUUGCGUUUCGCAAGUUUCUUUCGGUUAAAGCCACAGAAACCCCACCUCCUGCCCUUGUGUCGUUUCCACCGCGGCACCCUUUUCCGACAUUAGAAACAAUAGUGUACGCCUGUGGAGGCCUCGUUUGUUCAGGGGCUGCCGGCCAGGGCUUCAGGACGUUUCUGCGGCUUUCCCCGCGCGGCCUGGGCUCCCGCGGCUGCUUUUCGGGCCCAUGGGCGCAGCCACUGCGCCAGGCUCAAGGGGGGCGGCCCCGUCAGGGCCCGCCAUCUUGGAAGGCCUUUUUUGCCGGUUCUUCCCGCUGAGGAAGUGUCGCUCAAGACGCUGGCCUAUGAGUUGUGAUUUCUGCCUUUUCCCCUUCCUCCUUGGGCUAAGCCAGACCAGAAAGGGCCCCGUGCGCAACGUGCUUCACAAUCUCUCAGGGAAAGCGGCUAACGUGGCGCUACUCCGCCUCCCCUGUUCCUUACCCUUGGGGCGGCCGCCAUGUUUCCUGAACACAAAAUGGCGACACGUGGUUAGCAUUCGUCGCCAACGAGAAAUUGGGGUCGGCCCGAAAGCUCUAGAAUGCACCCCUCUUCCUCCCCGGGGCCUUCCACCUCCGCGAGUUUUAUGACUUAAAAAAGCCCACAGGCUGGUCUGAAGGUCGGAGGCCUAAUUUUAACGCGUUUUCCUCCCUUUAAUUUGAAACGGGAACGCGAAUGACUGUAAAAUGUGGGCACAAUAUUUAAUCUCUCGCCUUUUUAAAGCUUAAUAGUGGAUAAUAGGGGGGCAGUAUCAAGGGAUAAUUUGGGUCCCCACAGUACCAAAGCAUUUAGAAACCUCUGUUUAAUUUAAGGAAUGAGAUAAGUUACUGCUUUUCUAGACUUCCUAGCAUGGGCUGUUGUGCUGGAGAGAACGAGAGCUACGAAGAGACUACAGUGCCUCUGACUUUUUCAUAGGACAGUUGGCCGAGGAAGACAAACAUAAAGAUGAAGUGCUUAAUUCAAGGUCACACAAUGUCGGGGAUGGACCUCCAGAUUUCCUUACUGACCUGCAUUAUCUUGUGGAUACCUGAGUGAAUUCCACACCACCCAUUUUAUAGAUGAAACCACUGAGACAUGGAGCAAUUGACUGAGUAGUCACUGCCCCACCCCUGCCUGGAGCCUCACACAUGACUCGCCUCCUCUCAGUGACCACAGGAAAACAAGCUCAGGGCUCCCACUGAUUGUACAUUAUGAGACGGAGUCUUGCUAUGUUGCCCAGGCUGGUCUUGAACUCCUCACCUCAAGCGAUCCUCCCGUCUUGGCCUCCCAAGUGUCAGGAUUACGGGCAUGUGCUAUCACACCCAACCUGAUACAUUGCCUUUAUAAAUUUUUUUUUCUUUAUUCUAAAAACCAGAAAAAACAAAACUGGAUACAUGUGCAGAACAUGCAGGUGAGACGUGGUCUUGUAACACAGUGGUUAAGAAUGUGACUUUGGAGCCAGCCUGCUAGGGGCUGAAUUCUGACUCAGCCAUUUACUAACUGUGUGACCUUAGUCUCACUGUUGCUCAGGCUGGAGUGCAAUGGCAUGAUCUCGGCUCAUCACAACCUCUGCUUCCUGGGUUCAAGCGAUUCUCCUGCCUCAGCCUCCCGAGUACCUGGGACUACAGGCACUCGCCACCAUGCCCGGCUGAUUUUUGUAUUUUUAAUAGAGAUGGUUUCACUAUGUUGGCCAGGCUGGUCUCGAACUCCUGACCUUGUGAUCUGCCCACCUCAGCCUCGAAAAGUGCUGGGAUUACAGGCGUGAGCCACUGCGCCCAGCCUUGUAUUUUUUUUCAGUUUGGGUAGCUGUCCCUAAUUCAUUUGUUAAAGGAGAAGCAAGAGCAAGAACCUUUAAUCUGUUCUCCUCUUCCCUAAUUUGAAAGUAGCUUGUUAUUUUGAAUAUCACUUUCUCUGAAAUAGCACAUCUCCAUCUCAGAGAAUGGAUUUAAUGUUUGGAUACAGCCAAAAGUCAUUUCAUUACCAAACCAUGGGGUGAAUAUACCAUGUAAAGCAGUUUGGGAUCAGAACUCACAGUCUGAAUUGUAAGUGAUGAGACUGCUGUCUCUCUGCUACAGCUUCUUGGCUGGCUCUGAAGGCUCUUUGAAGGCAGAUCCUAACAAGGGGACUGCUUUGAAGGGCCAUUGUUCAUUUGGAAUGAUAAAGUCUAUGUUGUUCAAAAAACAAAUGCUUGUAGCAGGUAUUUUUUCACUCCAGACUGAGAAUAUUGGUGGGAUAUUGAUAAGGGGUACUGAAUGGUAAUAAACAUGUGCUCUAGCUCUGUGCUAGUCAGCUUAUUUCAGAACUCUAGUUUGAUUCAGUUUCUUGCCUCUGACUCAAAAUGGAGGGAGAGUGAUUUUUACAUAAGAGAACACACCCACAUAUCCUUUUGGCAGCAGCUACCUGCCAGAGAUGUUGAAGAAGAGUAGCCAACCUUUACACAGCAGAUAUUGUGUGCCAGUCAUAGUCCUAAGUAUAAUACCUUACAUGUAUAAACUUCUUAUAAGGUUGGUGCUCUGUACCGAAUUGAAUAGUAUCCCCCAAAAUUCAUGUUGUCCCAGAACCUAUGAAAGUGAUCUUACUUGAGGGAGGGGGGAGGGGGGAGGGAUAGCAUUAGGAGAUAUACCUAAUGCUAAAUGACGAGUUAAUGGGUGUAGCACACCAGCAUGGCACAUGUAUACAUAUGUAACUAACCUGCACAUUGUGCACAUGUACCCUAAAACUUAAAGUAUAAUAAUAAUAAAAUAAAAAAAAAAAAGAAAGUGAUCUUACUUGGAAAUAAGGUCUUUGCACAUAUGAUCAAGUUGAGAUGAAGUUGUACUGGAAAGUCUGUCUAGUGACUGGUGUUGUCAUAAGAAGAGAGGGACACAGAGGGAAGAUGGCCACAUGAAGAUGGAGGCAGAGAUUGCAGUUAUGCUGCUGCAAACUAAGGAAUGGCUCUGGCCCUCCAAGGAUUGCUGAUAACCACCAGAAACUAGAAGAGACAAGGAAGGAUUCUUCCCUAGAGCCUUCAGAGGGAGCAUGGCCCUACUGACACCUGGAUUUCAAACUUGUAGCUUCCUAAACUGCAAGAGAAUAAAUUUCUGUUGUUUUAAGCCA
rnacentral:lncRNA from 1 species